rnacentral:rRNA from 1 species
GCUCAGGAUGAACGCUAGCUACAGGCUUAACACAUGCAAGUCGAGGGGUAGCAGGGUAGCAAUACCGCUGACGACCGGCGCACGGGUGAGUAACACGUAUCCAACCUUCCCAUAACUCGGGGAUAGCCUUUCGAAAGAAAGAUUAAUACCCGAUAGUACUUUAUUAAGGCAUCUUAAGAAAGUUAAAGAUUUAUUGGUUAUGGAUGGGGAUGCGUUCCAUUAGAUAGUUGGUGAGGUAACGGCUCACCAAGUCUUCGAUGGAUAGGGGUUCUGAGAGGAAGGUCCCCCACAUUGGUACUGAGACACGGACCAAACUCCUACGGGAGGCAGCAGUGAGGAAUAUUGGUCAAUGGGCGAGAGCCUGAACCAGCCAAGU